GGAGUACUGUCGUCGCGCUCUGUAGAAUAAUCCGACAAGGGAUCAUUUCCUCCUCGAAAAUCAAGCAACUUGAGAAAUUCAACUUCUUUUCCACGGGCCAGGCAGAAGUCCCUCAUCAGAUCAUGAAGGUAGCAUGACUCAACCUUUCUGGAUGUCGAGAACUCAUCGAACUUCACUUGAAGCAUUGACCUACUAGCCAUCUCGUACAAGUACCUUUCAGCUACAUCUGUCAGAGUUUCUCCUUUUCCGCGAUGAUCUGAUGAGACCAUCCCUUCUGCUGUCCACAUUCGAUACAACAUCUCUGCAUCUAUGUCCUCAUCCUCACGAAAUUGCCCCAGGUAAAGAAAACAUGGCUUCAAGUGGUAGGGUAGCUCGUCAUAACUCAGAGCCAACACCUGCAACACGGCUCCAUACCCUUGUUCUUUACCACCUUCACUCAUCCUUAUAUACGAAUCCACAUCAUUCUUCACUAUCUCCCACUCCUCGAGUGAAGUCUUUGGAGUCAGAACUCCUCCAAUUGCAGAGAUUGCUAAGGGUAGGUUUCCACACUCGCGAACAAUUGCCCUCCCUACUGCUUCCAACAGUGGAUCACUUUCACAAUCUGCAAGAGAGAAAAGUGUGAAUUACGUGUCUCUAUAAUUUGUCAAAAAGAUGUACCUUUGUUUUUUUGGAUGUGAAAAUGUAACUAUUCUCCCAACAUUUCCACUUGGUUUGGAGACUAAUGCAUCUAAAUUUGCCAAGUAAAAAAAGCUAACAGAAAUGCAUACAGGUAUGAACGGCAUAGAAUCUGUAGGAAUAAGUAUCAAACUUUUUAUUCUGUUUUAACUAAUGCAAGUCAGAUAUAUGUACUUCACUAGAGAAAAGCUAACCUGCGCCAUUUCUUUUGGCAAAAGCUCUCUUUUGAAGUAACUCCCAGCCUUCAUCCUCGUUCAGAAGGUUGAGUGGAUAGAGGAAUUCAUCUUCUACGAGUUUCUGGUUCCGAGUUGUAAUCAAAAUUUUGCUAUCCGCCUCUGCAAAUGGAAAUGCUACUUUGAGACACUCCCAGUCCUCAAUUUUCCACAGGUCAUCAAGAACAACAAAGCUUUUUGUCUCUUUCUGCACUUUAUAAAGCUCUCCUACCAAUUUCCUCUCAUCCAUCUUCCCAACACUGUCCUUCCUCUGGUCCGGGACAAGCUGCUUCAGAAUGUCUCGGAAGACGGUCAUCGUAUUGCACUGUUGGGUAACCGAAACCCAAGCAAACUGUUUGAAAGCACGUUCUACUUCAAUGUGCUUGUAGAUCUUCCUGGCAAGAGUGGUCUUACCGAGACCGCCCAUCCCAUGUACUGAAAUAACUCGAUGUGAUCUAAUUCCCUCAUCAGUGAUGAGGGACACAAGCUGUCUUAUAUCAUCUUUCAUCCCAACAAAAUAUUCCUCAACUUGAUGGGGAUAGGUUUGUCUCAGCCGCUGUUGAUUCUGAUCCAAUCUCGCAUUGGAACUUUGACCGUCUUCAGUACUGCUCAAUGCAAUGACGCCAUAAGUUUCCAGAUUCGUGGUGAGGCUGUGGAUUCCUGUUUUGAUGCUAGCUAUCUCUGAACCAACUCUGUGAAGAGAUAUUCCUUCAGAAAUUAGGCACGCAAAUCUUCUGAAAGCCUUGCGGAAGCCGUGGCCCCUUCUCCUGGAUUCGAUUUCAACGGCAAACUUCUCCAAGACAUCUUCAGUUCUGUAAGCAAGACGCCUGAUCUCCCUGACAUAAUUACGGAUUGUCGAAUCAUUCAAUUGUUUUUUGUCGGCGUCUUUCAAGAAACAUUGCAUCCGUUUCAAUUCUGCUUCAACUUCCUUGACUUGAUCCGCCACUCCGCUCAAGAAUCUGCCUUCUUCAACUAACAAAUCCUUCACCAUUCCCAAAGCAAGGGAGACAGCUUCGCUACCCAUUUUGGUGCAACAAACAAUAACCCACUUUUUUUCUAAUUCAAUUUGCUCUCUUACAAGCUGUAUCUUGGAUGAUGGAUGCCCAAAGCCAAUGCAAUACAAGUAUGAGAUUGGUUUGUACGGACUAGAACUUGUCUAUGAAUAGUAGUUAAAUGAGAUGAAAUGAUUGAGCAAGGCAGUCAAAAUAACAAGGGAUAAUUUCAGAAACUUCCCCUAAGGUUUUUGACAAUUUCACUAAGCUUCCCUAAGGUUUAAAAAAUUACAUUUACUUCCCUUGAUUUGAUAGUUUUAAUAACAAAAUCUUAAAAUAAUAUUAACUUGAUCAAAUUUUUAAAUGAAUAUAUCUAAAAAUGCCCUUGUGUAAUGAGUUUUAAUUUAUUUUCUUAUAUAAUUUAAAGAUUAUCUAGUAUAAUUACAAGAAAAAUGUGCGAAAAUGUUCAUGUCCAUACCUACUAUUUGAUAAAUAACUAUAAUAAUAACUUUAUCCCUAUAAUAGGAUACUUUUGAUGGUAUUUUAUUAUGGAUUUAGAUCUAUAAGAUAGAAAAGAAAAUAUUGAAAUAAUUCAUUUAGAGGUAUGAAUUUUUUGAUUAGUAGGAUUAUCAUAAUUUAAUACUAAUUUUGGGCCAUUUAUUUUUAAUUUAUUAUUAAUUUAAAUACCAAAAAAAUAGAAAACAAAAAUCAACAAAAACAUUAGAUUACAUAUAAGUUAACUUAUCCAAAAAAAUCACUAAUUCGAUAUUCGGUUAUAAUAGAAACUAUAGGUACUAGUGCUUGUUCUACAGCUUUAUUGGCAAAAAAUGAAAAAAAAAAAAAGAAAAAGAAGAAAAAAUAGUGAAAAAAUAAUUUUAAAAGUCAUUCUAAAUAUAAGCCUACCAAACAAAGGAAUUCAUUAAAAUAUUUAAAGAGAAUAUUGUCAUUUUCAAUGAUAAGAGAGGUAUACAUAAUUUUUAAAAUUUUGAGGGAGAUAAAUGAAAUUAUCAUAAAUCUUAAGAGAGGUUUCUAAAAUUAUCCCAAAUAACAAUAGAAAAGUAUAGUACUACUUUACAUACUAAGGUACACUGAGAGAAUAUGCUUCAAAAAACCAAAAAGGAAGAAUGAGAUAAUGCAUAGGUGUAAACCGUAAGGCCGAGAAGGGAAAAGCAAAAAUAGAGUAUCAUUGGAAAUAUUAUUUAGAAUAAUUAUUAUAACACUUUUUAUGAUAUAAUAUAUAUAUAUAUAUAAUAAAAAAUGAUUAAAAUAAAAAAAAUAAAUUAAGAAAUAUAUUUAUGAUGCAAGUAAAAUAUUAUUUAAAAAAAUUUGACAUCCAAACAUUGCUAUAACGGAUAUGGGGCAGGGACGGUCAUCAGGCGGACCGUUCCUAAACAGUCCUCUCAUAAAAGGGAAUGAGAGGACUGUAAUGGACCACGUGUAAUGGAAGCAGCAGUAAAAGAAAAUGACGCUGCUUCACUAAGUGAGUAGGGAAACAAAUUAAAAAAAAAAGACAUAUGAGUGGCUAACGGGUUCCAUUAAAAAACCUCAGCUUCCGUUCCAAAAUUCCCACUCAAAUUAAUGAGGCACAACUAUUCUUCUGAAAUCUUCAAAUGAAAUAGACUUUUGGUCUUCCUCCAAAAACUUAUCUUGUGAGCAUUCCUUCACAAUUUCAAAAUAUCGACAGAAUAAUAUCCUUGUCCCAAAUUGGAAGUUUUAGAUGAGAGGUUUUUGGAGGAAGUGUUGCAGAAACAUGGUGUCACCGGUCAAUGUACUCACUUCUCAAAAGACUUUUUUAUUUGCAUUUUCUCUAACAUGGGCUAAAAUUGCUAUCAAAAUCUUAAAUUCAAGGGAAGUUAGUGCUAUUUUUCAAAUCUUACGAGAGGUGAGUACAACUGUCAGAUAUUUCAAAAGAGGUUUUUGCAAUUAUCCCAUUAAAAUUACCUAAUUCGGAGGAGGAGGCUGACAGAUAUUUAGCUAAGAGUAGCGGCUUCAUUUGGAUUUCUGAAAAACAAAUUUUUCAUAUACAAUACUAUAAUAAUACACAAACAAAAGUUUUUUAUUUUCGUUCUAUAUUCUAUAAAACCCCAUCCCCCCCCCCCCCCCCCUCUAGGGUCAUUUCCUAUAAGUUGUUUGUCCCUCGAGGUAUUUAAACGAAAAUGGGGCAAGGUGGAUUUUUAACCUAGACAGUUAAAGUAUUUGAUAACUGUAAUGCAUUUGCAUACACGAAAUUUUGGUGGUGCAAAAUCGCAGUGCUUUAGAUGUACUUUUGAUUCCACUUCUACAGAAAACUAUCGAUGGCUUCCCGCCUUGCUUUCCAUCAAUUGUUGGGUUCCCCUCUUAGAUUUCCUCUAUUGACUUUAUUAUUGUUUUGUCAAUACUUGAAACGCGCGUUUCCUCUAUUGACUUUUUUGGCUAUUGCUUUCCUCUAUUGACUUGAAACGCGCGCUUUAAGCACAAACACGUGCUCAACAAGCUAAUGUAUUGACUACGUAAAAUGUUGAAGCAAUAAACUAUAUCACUAUUGCCUGGGUUGUUUAUUACUAAUAAUCAUCCGUUUGCUGUUGCUUCUUGUUGUCUUGUCCUUGCUGUCAUAGUUGUUGAGUGUUUUAUUCCUUCAAAAACAAAAAAAAAAGACUCGAAAGCCAUUAAUUUCAUUAAAUUUUUCCUUCAUUAUGAGAUUCUUCAAAUCAUGUAUUAGAUUAUAUAUAUGUAUAUUUUUUGUUCUUUUUAUUUAUUUAUUUAUCGAGGUCAUGUGUAUUCUCAUAAUUUAUUGAUCUUUCAAGUCCAUCGAAAACUCGAGGGAACAAGGCCAUGUGCAUUAAUUGGGAAUUGAAUUUUUUUUUAUACUAUCAAUUAUAUGUUAAUAAUUGGAAGGAAAUAUUCUAUUCUUUUUUUUUUUGUCGACACGAUAGAAUUCGUAUAACCUAAACUAGCUACUCGAUGUGAGUAGAAACUCCAUCGAAACUGGUCAAUGAAGACCGUCACAUAUUGUGACAAAUUUUGUGAGAGGCAAGAUUUAAACCCUUGACCUCCCGCACCACCAAGGCUAAGAAGACUUGGGAUGACCACUGGACCAAAGGGCCAAUGGCGGAAAGUGGAAUUCUAUUCGGGGAACAUUUUACUGUUUCUUGCAUUAAUUGGUGCAUUAAUUGGUAUUAGGUAGUCAAUACCAUUUCUUUAUCAAGAAAUUAGUUUAUACCCAUAAGUUGAACUCUUUAAUGACUUUGAUGGCCAUUUCUCCCUAGAUCUAUCUCUCUCCCCCCACUAAUGAGUGUUCCAAAAGAAUAAUAAUACUAUUUCUUUGGAUCAGAGAUUGUGAACUCUAAGAUAUUCAACCAAAUAAAGUAUGAUUUCUAGUUGGCAAAUAGUUGAUGGCAUGAAUAGGGACACAAAAAUGGGAAUGAUCCCGGAAGCAACAAAAGCAUCUAACAAAGGUUAACAAAAGUUUUUUAGUUACAAAAGCAUCUAAUAAUACCCCCACUUUUAUUUAGUUUUUUUUUUUUUUUUUUUUUUAACAAAAGUUCCUCAACUUGGAAGGUGGUGACUGACUGAGUGAUAUGACUAUUUUGAAGCCUCACUUACAAUUCCCUGCAGGAAUAGUAAAUUAUGCAACGAAACUGAUGAUUUUCCAGGGAUAGGGCAUAAUGAUCGAGAAGACGCAUUCCACAAAGUUCAUCUCUGACAAGGGAUUUUUUUUUUAUAAAAAAAUUAGACUGGUCUAUUCUAUUCUUACAUCUACUUUAAUCUACACUAAUGGGAGACCCAAUGAAUCCUAGAGAAAUCGAUGAAAAUUGAACUAUUGUCGAACCAAACUAAUAUUAAAGGUAUACAAAAUUGAUACUAAUAUGAAGCGUGGCAAGUAAGAAUGCACCUUACGUUAUACAAUUUUUUUUAAGGCCUGGUAUUUCAUUUGUACAUGUAAUUAAACCUGUGUGGCAGAUUAAUGACUCUCUUCAGUCUUAGAUUCAAGCAAUACUUGAGAGUUUUCUUCAUACAAUUAAAAUGGACAACCUUAUGCAUCCUAAAAUAUUGAAAAUCUUCACUACUCAAGCUGGAUCUUGCAUACUACACUUCCUUAAUAUUUUGGUUUUUUUCUUAUUAUGGUUUCAUUGUUAUUUUGUAGCCCUAGCUACGAUGCCUUUUUGGUGGAUCCAAGACUUCAAGUCCAUGCCAUGAUUUUCUCACUGUGUCUCCUUUAUGUCAUUUGUAUGGGUAAGCUCGACAACAAUACUACAAAGAUCAAGAAAAUUCAUGCAUAUUCUACAAUAAACGCAAGUAUGGUCCAUCCAUCGUAUUCCGAUACACUGAGUUGACUAUGAUAUUAAACGAAAAUCCUCCGAUUUUUUUUUUGUCCCUUUUAGUAAGCUUCUCCAAACCCUUGAACAUGCAUAAUACAAUUAAAGUUGUGGCACAGACCUCGUAGCUGAAUAGUAUUGGUUAUUUGAGGCCUCUAAAUCAACUUUUGUUGGUUAAUUUUUUCUAAAAUAUUUGGGUAAUAAAACUAAGGAAAAGAUUAAAAAAAAUCAUAGCUAUGUAGUAUAAUAUUGCUAAUGUUAUGACCUUGUUUGGAUUGCCAAUUUCUUUCAAAUUUUUUUUUAUAUUUUUCAUGAACACAUUUUCUAAUCAACUUUUUAUCUUGCAUACAUCAAAUCAUUAUAGCAUAUUUUUUCUUACAAAACUUGACAAACUAGCAAUCCAAUAAUACCAAUCAUAUACACAAUUUAUAAAUUACAAGAUACUAGCUACUACACACAAUUUAUUAAAUUGAUACCUUUUUUUUAGAUACUGCUAGUGUAAAGAUUUUUUUUACACAAGCAGAUUUUGAUCAUACUACAUAACAUGAAUUCAAAUUUAAAAUUUAAUUCAUGCGCAUGUGACAUAUAUUCUACGCUAUUAGUAUAAAAAACUGUAGGGGUCCCUAGUGCAAGCUACACCUUGACAAUGUGGACUAAGGGCUAGCUCUUCGUUUGUGCCCAUAAUGGACUUAAGCCCACACCAUCUGAAUACCAGGGCAUGUUCACAACUCCAACCCCGUAUCAAAUUAUAAGGCCGCCAGUGUCAUGAGUGUGACCCUUUGUGGCCCAUUUCUUUUUGGAUGAUGGAUUCCUCAAUGCAUGAAUAAAUAACAACUGAAAAUCAGAUGAACUGUCAGUUGUCAGUCCAAAAUUCGGAAUGCAUCAGGCCAUUAGAUGUUGCCGCUCGUUGGAUCUAGAAUGGGUCAUGGUGCAGAAAUAAGGUCCUCUGAACUGGGCUUCUACAUGCUAGGUAGACUCUAGUGCCUAGUUUGGGAGUUUAGGAUGGAUAAGAGAAGGAGAAAAAGUUGCGUAAUUAGAAAAGAAAAGAAGAGAACUUUUGACAAAAAAAAAAAAAGAAAAGAAGAGAAGAGAAAAGAUUGUUAUAUCCUUUCAUAUUAUUUGGAAGAUUUGGGAGCGGAAAAGAAAGAAGUGAUUUUACUUUGUUUAGGAGUGAAGAUGAGUAGAAGGAAAAAUUUUUUAUUUUACAAUAGUAAAAUAUAAUUUGGAACUCGUUUAUUAAUAUAAUUUAAUUUCACAUCGCAAAUAUCAGGGGUAAAACUGGUACACUAAAAAAGUUACUAAAGUCCCUUUCUUGCAUGGAUGGAAGAUUUUUUGGCUUGUGGAGGGAUUUCAGGUCCCACCCUUUUCUUCUUCUUUCUUUUGUUAUUAAAACUUCCAAACAAAAGGAUGCCUCCACUUUCUUUCUAACUCCUUUCUUUUCUCUCCAAAUCAGUUCUCCCAAACUAGCUGUAAGCUUUACAAGCGAAAAGGGCAAAAGGAAAGCUUGAGACUUGAGGAUAGAUUUCACGAGUAACUAAUCAAUGUCCUUACUAACAAGAGUUAGGUAUUAAAAAGGAAAUGUCCAAUUUCACCUCUAACUCCAGUGAGGAAACUCAUGCAUUGAAACGAGCUUGAAUUCGCAAUUCGCCGUGGCUUAUUACUUUGUCCAAAACUUGGAUAGACCUAAUUUUUAAAGAUCCAAUGAACUAAUUUGUGCCAUAUAAUUUAGUGAAAUGAUAUGAUACAAUUUGAUCAUUGAAUUUUUGAAUAUCGGAUCUGACCAAGUAUGAGCCUAUUAAUUUAACCAUUCAUGUGACCAAAAUGGCUAUGGUGAUAGAUGGUAAAGAGCCAAUUGCCAUAAAAUAGUGGUUCUGUGAUUGCCCUUAACUUCAUUUUAAUAGAAAAAGGAGGACAUGCUAUGUUUUUUUUUUUUCAAGAGUUUAAUAUGCAGAACUAUUUGUGUGAUAAGUUCAUUAUUGUUGCUAUGAAAAGGAAGCAAAUAUUAAAGUCAAUUUGGGUCAUCAAGUAUAGUUUAUGAACAUCAAUCAUCAUGUAUGACCUCCUUAGAAUUUUCUGGACAUGUAAAACACAGUAUGAACAAAAGAAGUCUAUCGAACAAUUUGUGAUUAACCGGUCAAACAAUUUGACAAUACCUUUCCAACUACUCGAUAUUUUUUAAUCUCAAAACCAGAAUAAUACUUGUUCUGCAGCCUGUAAUAAUAAUCCAGAUCAAACCGGCUGACAUGGGUAUCAGGUAUACAAGAAAUCAAGAAAUAGACAACUGAAAAAGAAGUUACUUUGAUUACAUAUCCAAUCUGCAAUCUCAUCGUCCGACAAUGGCAUCCGAACCAUUUUAGAUUUGUCAUGCGCUAGAACCCUUUCUUGAAGUAGCCAACUUCAUUACUUCCUCACGUUUUUUUGGCAAGUCUUCAAGUCGUCCUUCUGAAGAGGGACCAGCAGUUUCUUCUGAGAAAUCUCUGAUAGCCAACAAUCUACCGAACACCCUUAGACAGAAGAUUUGUCAAGACAAGGCAGAUUCAAUCAGUGUGGAAAAAUAUAAGAUUGAGCUUUGAUCCGUCAAUACUCAAUAGUUUAUUGAAAAAAUCAAAGUCUAACAUAAUAAGUCAUGUCAAUGUAAACUGAGUAAAAACUUCCCCCAGUGCCAGGAAGGAGGCACAUUGUUACUCUACUAUCAACUUGGCUAAAAGAACUCGUCAAUUUUUAAUCAAGAUAGUAGAAAAGUCCGCAAACAGGUCAUUGCUGUCUGCAUAUAAAUCUCCUUCCCCUGGUGGAUCAAAUAUUCCCAAUUUAACUCGUUGUUUUAUAGGCAGAGUUUCCAACUGUCUAUCAAUGGCUAUCCCUCUUCAAAAGAUAAGAUUAUCAUUGAAGGAGCAUAAGCAGGAGACAAUCAUCUCCACUACACCAUGCAAUUGGUCAAGAAAUUCAUUUUUUCCUGGGGUAGUAGGAAGAGGCAGUGCACGAAAAAGUCUUGUUACAACCAAAGUGGUACCAAAGAAUGACUCACCAAUCAGAGUUUCCGACUCUGAAAGGAUGAAAGCUAAAGAAGGGGAUGAAGAAAGAGUUGCUCUAACUAAAGAGCCAAAAAGAAAGUUGGCUGAUGCCUGGAGAGAAAUUCAUGGUCAAAAUGAUUGGGCAGGCAUGCUUGAUCCCCUUGAUCCACUCUUGCGAGCUGAGCUGAUGCGCUAUGGGGACAUGGCACAAGCAUGUUAUGAUGCCUAUGAAUUUGAUCCAUAUUCCAAGUACUGCGGAAGCUGUAAAGUCAAACCAAGCAUGUUCUUCGAAAACCUUGGCUGGAACAAGUGUGGUUACGAGGUAACAAGCUAUAUUUAUUCAACCUACAAUGUCAACUUCCCAAAGUUCUUCAACGUCUCUCUGAAUCCAGAUGGAUGGAGCCAUUCAGCUAAUUGGAUUGGCUAUGUUGCUGUGUCAAAUGAAGAGUACUCGAAAUAUCUAGGGCGCCGCGACAUAAUGAUUGCUUGGAGGGGCACGGUGACAAAUGCUGAGAAGAUUGCAGAUCUGAUGGACUUCCAGAACCCAACCACAUACCACACGAUUCCUAGCCGCGAUCCAACCAUAAAAGUAGAGGCAGGAUUCUUGGACCUCUACGCAGGCAGAAACGUAGAUUGUCAGUAUUGCAAGUACUCAGCCCGGGAACAAGUUUUAGCUGAAGUGAAGAGAUUAAAAGAACUGUACCCUGGCGAGGAAUUAAGCAUAACGAUUACAGGGCACAGUCUUGGUAGUGCCUUGGCAACAUUGAAUGCUUAUGAUAUAGCAGAAAUUGGUCUAGAUGUAAUGGAAGACGGAAGAGUAAUUCCUGUGACCGUGUUCUCAUUCUCUGGUCCAAGAGUUGGAAAUGCAAGAUUCAAGGAGCGAUUGGAGGGUUUAGGGGUGAAAAUACUAAGAAUUUUUAACGUCCAUGACCAGGUGCCUAAGGUACCAGGAAUUUUCUUGAACGAACUUGUACCAAAAGUGCUGCAACAGCUUGGAGGAUGGUUACCAUGGUGCUAUUUUCAUGUUGGUGAGGAGCUGCCCUUGAAUCACGAAAACUCGCCCUUUCUGAAAGAUGAAAGCAACCUGGUGUUCUUCCACAAUUUGGAGGUCCUGCUGCAUUUGCUUGAUGGGUCAGUACAUUAAUUAUUUCCGAAUUCUUUUUUAUUUUCAAAAUUAAGGAAAGGAAAGAACUCUCUUAAAACACUUCAGCUACUCUCUCUGUGUGUGAUGUAACAGAUACCAUGGCAAGGGUCGAAGAUUUUGGCUUGCAGGUGGGAGAGACAUUGCACUGGUGAACAAAACAACAGACUUCUUGAAGAGGGAUUUCCUAAUUCCACCAAAUUGGUGGGAAACAAACAACAGAAUGCUCUUCAAAAAUCAUUUGGGACAAUGGGUUAUGCCGGAACAGCAUGAUCUUGAGAUCCACACCCCAUCGGAAGAUGUACAACAUCACCUCCAACAGUUGAAUCUAGCAUGUCAUGCCCAAUGGCAUUAGCUUUGUACCAGUGCCCCACUGAUAUAAUUAUUCAAGGUUCCUUUCCCACUUGAAAUUUAAUACUAACGGAGACAAAGGAAUAAUUAGUCCACCGGGUAGCCAUAACCACGGAAAUAAUAAGAAAAGCACAUAAUUUUUCAUCCAUUUUAUAUAGUAAGUACUGAUUUAUUCAGCUGCUUCCAUCGGUUGCAGCUAAGCAAUUUAUUUUUAUUCUCUUUUGGCACUUUCUGGUUGAGGCAGCCAAUAAUGUUGUUGUGUUUAAUACAUCAUACCCCAUAGGGUAUUUAUUUUAUUUAUUAAUCGAGCAAAACCAGAAUCAAUGCUUACAACAAUAAGACCAAAUCAACCAAAUAACAAAUCAAGAAAAGGUCAAAAAACAAGAAACAAAAAGUUAACAAUUACUAUCACUAUUGAUACAUUAGAAAAAGUUUUUUUUUUUAAUUUUUUUUCCAACAGAAGAGGAAUAUAAUUUAAGAAAUGGGACAAGACAAGAGAACUUAAAUUCGAAAUAUCUAAUUUCUGAGUCUCAACUUUAGCUACUAUAGCAAUGCCUCGGAAAGAAAUGGUCGUAGAUUCGUUUAUAGGUCAUUGCUAUUUGACUAGCACAAAAUUAGUACAUAAAAUAACUAGAACGACGUCGUCGAAACCAUUAUUCAUCCCUUUCCAUUUGAUAAUCACGUGAUUUAUCACGUGAUCAAAAAGCUUGCCUUCUCGGUUGUUCUCUCAACGUUUAUUUAUUCCUUUUUUGGUUUUCUUCUUGCUUCCUAAGCUUCGUUUGGAGGCUGAGGAUUUGGACAAACAAGAAAGGGAAAGAAGAGAAAAUUUAGUUUUCUUUUGUUUACUAGCUUUCAGUAAAAAAGAAAAGAAAGGAAAUGAGAAGGAGAACGAACAGUAACCAAAACUUUCCCUUCUAAAUUAGAUGAAAAUAAAAAAAAAACUUUGAAAAAACUUGUCAUAUUUUUUUAAAAUACAUAUUUUGUCCUUAAAAAAAUUUUAAAUAAAUAUUUAAUAAUUUUUAUAUCCAAAAUCAUUCCAUUAAUUCUUAAAACUCCCCAGCAUAGGAAUCCUUUUCUCGUGUCCUCUCUUCUCUCGUAACUUUUAAGUUUUUGCUUCUUUUCUUUUCUAUCCUAAACUCCCAAACUAAGCCUAAGUUUCCGGUCACCUGAUGGAUUGGUCUGCCUACUGAUUAUGCCCAAAACCCCCACAAGAAGUACCAAAACCCAGACCCAUUUAAGAUUUUUCUCCUAAAACCCAUGUUUAAAAUUAAAAAUCCAAAAAGGUUUCCCCUCAAAAACCCCUUCUCAUCUCAUCCCUUGAGCUGAAAUUUUCUUUUCCAUGGAUUUCAUCGAAUUGGAAGCAAUUGAAGGCCUCAGAUGGUCAUGGAACUCGUGGCCCACAACCAAAUCCGAGGCUGCAGCUCUGGUAGUCCCUUUAUCAAUUUUGUGUACUCCUUUAACUCAAUUCGGUGACCUCCCUAUACUUCCCUAUGACCCUUUGAUUUGCUCCAAGUGUGGCGCCGUUUUGAACCCGUAUGCCCGGGUCGAUUACCAGAGUAGAAUCUGGUAUUGCUCGUUUUGUAAUGGAAGAAACCCAUUUCCAAAGUCUUAUCUUGGAAUUAAUGAAAACAGUAUCCCAGCGGAGCUUUUUCCCACUUAUAGUACUGUGGAAUAUCAUUUGGGGAAAAAAUCGAUGAAUUUGGGGCACAACCCGCAAAACCCGGGCUUUGGUUCCGGGCCCGGUUAUGGCAAUGGGUUGGUUUUGUCUGGUUCAAGUUCGAUUUCGAGAAUGGGAUCGUUUUCUAGCUCAAAUUCUUCAUUGGCGGGGUUGGACUGGGCCGGGUCGGGCUUUGUCCCGGGACCUGCUUUUGUGUUCGUUGUGGAUGUGUGUACUGCUGAGGCGGAGCUUAGGGUGUUGAAGAGUGAGUUGUUGCAUGUGAUCACGCGGUUGCCAGAGAAUGCUCUUGUGGGGUUGGUGGUUUUUGAUUCUUUGGUCAGGGUUUAUGAUCUUGGGUUUUCAGAGUGUUUCAGGGUGGUGCUGUUUCAUGGUGAGCGCGAGAUAUCGUCCGAGCAGGUACAUUGAUUGCCAGUGCUAAUAUCAGUGAUUGCAUUUGGUUAUUACAUUCAGUGCUUAUUUAUUUGAAACUGUUUAGAACCAUAGUUUAUUGGGCUUUUAUCUCAUGUAUUGUGUGGCCUAAUGAGGAUUUCAAAAUGUAUGAGCAGUAAUUCAGUUUAAAGAAUAAAAUGAUUGGUAAUGUGCAACUUGAAAUGAGAGACAAGAAAUAUGGAUGGUUGUUGGUGAUUCUCUGCUGGUACAAGUUUAGAAUCUGAAUGUGUGAUAGUAGAUGUGAGUUUUUCUGUGGUAUAGCUUUGUACAAAAUCUGAUUUGUGGGCUCUCUGACGCACUUGCUUCAAACAAUUGUUUAACUAAUAGACAAUAAUUUACUCAAGAGCAACGCCAUUUUAAUGAAGUCUAUACUGUUGUGGGUGCUUUUAUGCUGUUUCUUUCCUCAGACUCCAUAUUUAUAGAUGCAUCUGGGUAUGAACUGACUAGACAAAUUAGCUUCCCCCUCUCUUCCCCUUAUACUGUGGUUGAGCUGAUACAUUUCUUUUUGCAUGCAAUUAUCUUCUUUCUGCCGAAACUUUUAAUGCUAAUUAACUAAUUAACCUGGAUCACACCAUCUUAAUCUGCAAGCUAGAGUAUUUUUUGACUGCCUUUAUUCAUGUGUUCAAAGUUCACAUGCUCUUGUUUGAGCAUUUGUCUCUUUCUAAGUUCCUAUAGGCCUUCCCUAGUCUAGGAAGGUAUGAUUAUUUUCCCUGAAAGUGUUUGCAGCAUGUUGGAAACAUUUAUUUCCAGUCAUGUCUUUUUAUGUUAUGCUGCGUGUCUGUAAAUGUUGUAUUUCUGAUACUGUAUGUGUGGAAAGUUAUGGCUACAAGUGCAGAUAGUGGUGCAUGCACUGGUCAUCUCUCGAAUUCUUAUAAUCGGUUCAGAUAUACCUCAUAUCAUUCUCUAAGUCUCUCAUGUGAAGUCUAAUUAGUGUGAUUGAUUGCUUAAGCAGUAAUAUAAAUGAAUCUUUCUUUGUGAUUUUUAUGAUGUAUUUACUUAACCAGAUACUUGUCAGAAUGCUUAUCACAUGAGUGUGAUAGAACAUUUUGUUCGAGUGUAACAUGUAGUGGUCGUUUGUCUCUAGACGAAACAGCUGUUGGGGAUUCAUCACAUAAAGCAGCAACUUGGAAAGACAUCAACAGUUCAUAAACAGGGAUUCCUAUUGCCAGUAUCUGAGUGCGAGUUCAGUUUCACGAAUGCCAUUGAAGAUCUUCAUUCUUCACCGCAGGCUCUCGCUGGUCAUCGUCCAUUACGGUCCACAGGGGUAGCAAUAUCAGUUGCAGUUGGACUAUUAGAAGGAUGCUUCGUUAGUUCAGCUUCACGAAUCAUGGUUUUCACUUCUGGCCCGGCAACUAUUGGCCCAGGCAUCAUUGUAGCUUCAGAUUACAGUCAUGCCAUCAGGACCCACCGAGAUAUCGAUAGUGGUUAUGCUCCUCAUUACAUAAAGUCCUGUGAAUUCUACAAGCGAUUAUCGAAGAGGUUAUGUGAUUCUUCAGUUGUGCUCGAUCUUUUUGCUUGUUCAUUAGAUCAAGUUGGAGCAGUGGAGCUAAAGGUCCCUGUUGAGAGCUCUGGUGGAUUCAUGAUGUUAGGGGAGUCAUUUGACUCUGAAAAAUUCAGAAAGUGCUUGAAUCACAUAUUCAUCCAUGAUGAGGAAGGGAAUUUGAACAUGUGCUUUGAUGCUACUAUAGAGUUAGUAACCACGAAGGACGUCAAAAUCUGUGGAGCUUUGGGUCCCUGUGUUUCUUUGCAGAAAAAGAACAGUUCUGUGAGUGACAAAGGGAUUGGGGAGAGUGGUACAUAUGUUUGGAAGCUAGGUACACUCAAUAAAAAAACAUGCAUUGCUUUCUUCUUUGAAGUGGGCCAUGAACAACACAUCCAACCUAACUCUGCAUUUUUCAUACAAUUCAUAACUCAGUACAGAUAUGGGAAUAUGGGGAUUCGCAAGAGAGUGACCACUGCUGCUCGAAGGUGGGUUGGGAAUCACUCACCAGAAAUUCAUGCUGGGUUUGAUCAGGAAGCAGCUGCUUCAGUGAUGGCUAGACUUGCAAUCCACAGAACGGAAAGAUUUUUCGCUCGAGAUGUUAUCAGUUGGCUGGAUAAGAAGCUUAUUCUUUUUGCUUCAAAGUUCGGGCAGUAUGUGCAGGAGGAUCCAUCUUCCUUCCAUCUGGCAUCCAACUUCUCCCUUUAUCCGCAAUUUAUGUAUCAUUUAAGGAGGUCUCAGUUCAUUGAUGUGUUUAAUAGCACUCCAGAUGAGACUGCGUUUUUCAGGCUUAUGCUAAAUCGUGAGGGUGUGGUUGGCUCUCUACUAAUGGUCCAGCCUACCCUUUUUCAGUAUUCAUUUGAAGGACCACCAAUCCCUGUUCUUCUAGAUGUUUGCUCUAUCUUCCCUGAUGUGAUACUGCUCUUUGAUUCCUAUUUUAAUGUCGUGAUUCACUAUGGAUCUAAGAUUGCGCAAUGGAGGAAGCUUGGUUAUGAUAGGGACCCCAACCACGAGAACUUUCGAAAGCUGCUGGAAGCUGUUGACCUUGACGCAAAGCACCUAGUGGCUGAACGGAUUCCAGUGCCAAAGCUCAUAAAGUGUGACCAACACAGUAGUCAGGCAAGAUUUCUUCUUGCCAAGUUGAAUCCAUCAGUGACACAGAACUCAACAUGUACAGAUGGUUCGGAGAUUAUUUUUACUGAUGACGUGAGCCUGCAAGUGUUCAUUGAUCACUUGCAAGCUUUGGCUGUGCAGGGCUAAUGGAGUGUUAUUAGUUACGAGCUGUUACCGGAAAACCGUCAUAUUGUUGUAUAGCACUGUAAAGAGGAAAGGCGUUUGUUUGUUAAUGAAAAGAAGGGCAUGGGAUUAACAGGUGUUUUUUAAGUUUACCCCUUCUGGACCGUGUUGUUAUGGUGGGGCAUAUGUAGCUGUAAAUGCUUUUCUGGUAAGAGUUAUACGUAGUUGAGCGCAUAAGCACUAUUUUGAAGUGGAAGAAAUUUCCCUUGGCAUUACAGGGUAUUCUGGACUGAUGCAGAGCAAGUCCAAAUCUGACAUAUCUGACGUACAAAAGCGGGGUUUCCAGUUACUUAUUAGUAUUGGGACGAAAGAAAGAGCUUCUAAAUUUUUGCAAGGGAAAAAUAGCGAGGUUUGGGUACUAAUUCAAGGCGUUGGCUUGAUUGAUCGUGUAAAUUGAUAAGAAAAAAUUAGUACCAAAAUUAAAAAAGUUAAACUAGCAAAUGCUAUAACAAAAUAAAUGUAACUGGGGCUAAGACUGUCAAGGAUUAGACGAACUUCUUAACAAUCAUCUUUCAUAAUUAGGAAAGGUUUAGGAUCAAUACGAAACCAUAAAGAGCUAAAGUAGAUAUCAUUUUUAUGUUUUUGGCAUAUCCCAUGAUGCAACUAUAUCAAUAUUGCUUUCGCAAUAUUACAGUGGAUUAAGUGAACAUUAUUGAGACAAUUGAAGCGCAAUUUGAUUGGUAACACGCUGCACCUGAAAUUGACAGACCACGUGUCCGAGUCAUCAAGAAGAGUAAAUAGGAAACUAUUAUUGAUUCUCUUUAAAAAAAAAUGUGAACAUUAUGGAAAACAAUGAGGGGAUUGUUCAAUGAAACCAAAACCACUCGGUAUAAAUAGUAAUUAACCCAUGAAAUUACACAUUAAGCAAUGACAUGAAAGCAAACCAGUUAAUUUGGCACUUUCAGACUAUAAAAAGCAAACCAGCCCAUCAAUCCCAUGAAUUCUUUGGAGGGAGGAGUAAGUCCUACAUAUGAUAAUAAUAGGUUUUAACUUUUAUAGAACAUAUAAAAGAUUCUUCAGUGAAGCAGCGGCUUCAGUGAUGGAUAGCAGUUGCAGUCCCCAGAACUGUAAGAUUCUUCGCUCGAGCUGUCAUCAGUUGGCUGGAUAAGAAGCUCGCUCUUUUUGCUUCCAUAAGAUUCAAUUGCAAUCACGGGGACGUGACAGAUUUUGUCAUGAUCCGGUCCUCCACGCCCAUCGAUCCCAUGAAUUCUUUGGACGAUGAAUUCUUCAGGCAUUUUAAUUUCCAACUUUCUGAGUGUUGUAAUAAACCUCAGCCCAUCAGGAAUCAUCUCCAGUGCUUCACAUCUAUCGAUUGUAAGAUGAGAUAGGUUAGGCAUGCAUCCUUCAGCCACCACCCACUUUUCUAAGUUUUUUAUGCCAAUGAUCUCCAGAGAUGCGAGUUUUGGAAAAGCAUUUGCAUCAAUAAUCAUCACUUUUCUAUCCACCAAGUCCACAAGAAGAAAAAGCAGUCUCCUCAAGUUGGGAAGAUCUCCCAAGACACUCAUUGGAUCUCCUUCAAUUGAACACUGCAGCAAACUUAGCUCACUGAGGUUCGAGGGGGAAAGGGGUGGUUCAACUUUUUGAAACUCACACCUUCCCCACCACAAGCUCAAUUGGUGGAGACAGUGGCAGGACAAAAGAUCUAGAAAAGGAAGCAAUACUUCACCGGAUGCAUAAAUCUCCAAUUGAGCCUCCCGUAGAUUGUGUCGGUUGGAAUUCAAGUAUUUGAGCAUCUGAGGGAGAUCGUUCUUCUCUUUACGGAUAUUCACAAUUGCACCGAGGAACCUUAGAUUAUUCAACCCUGACAAAUGUUUCAAGUCUCCGACAUCAUCGUCAAAGCCAACUAAAGUCUCCAGCUUACUUAAGCCAAGAAAGCUUAGCUAUCCACCUUCUACUUCUGUCCUUGGAGAAAAAUACAAAUGCUUCAAUCCUUUCAAUUUGCACAAGACAUCAGGCACCGUAAUCGUAGGAAAGACUCGUAUAUCAAGUGUCUCCAGGUACUGUAAUUGACCUAUGGAUGAUGGAAGUGUCUCCAAGGCACUGCCCUUUAGACUGAGGAAUCUCAAAUUGACCAGCUUCUUUAUUCCUUCAGGCAAACCUUUGCCCAUGAAACGAUAACCCUCGAAUUUGAGAACCUUUACAUAUUUGAACUUGGUUGAAUCACAUAUUACUUCAGGAAAUGAGAUACUUGCCGUGCGACGUUCAGUUCCACCACUUAAUGUUAAAGAACGCAGUUGUCCACUGGCUUCCAGUGCCAUACUUAUCAUAGAGUCAACAUCACCUAGACAAUGCUUUUUACCAUCUUCCAUGUGAAUGGAGCAUCUAGGAGUACAGUCGUCGCGCUCUGUAGAAUAAUCCGACAAGGGAUCAUUUCCUCCUCGAAAAUCAAGCAACUUGAGAAAUUCAACUUCUUUUCCACUGGGCCAGGCAGAAGUCCCUCAUCAGAUCAUGAAGGUAGCAUGACUCAACCUUUCUGGAUGUCGAGAACUCAUAAAACUUCACUUGAAGCAUUGACCUACUAGCCAUCUCAUACAGGUACCUUUCAGCUACAUCUGUCAGAGUUUCUCCUUUUCUGCGAUGAUCUGAUGAGACCAUCCCUUCUGCUGUCCACAUUCGAUACAACAUCUCUGCAUCUAUGUCCUCAUCCUCACGAUAUUGCCCCAGGUAAAGAAAACAUGGCUUCAAGUGGUAGGGUAGCUCGUCAUAACUCAGAGCCAACACCUGCAACACGGCUCCAUACCCUUCUUCUUUGCCACCUUCACUCAUCCUUAUAUACGAAUCCACAUCAUUCUUCACUGUCUCCCACUCCUCGAGUGAAGUCUUUUGACUCAGAACUCCUCCAAUUGCAGAGAUUGCUAAGGGUAGGUUUCCACACUUGCGAACAAUUGCCCUCCCUACUGCUUCCAACCGUGGACCACUUUCACAAUCUGCAAGAGAGAAAAAUGUAAAUUGUGUGUCUCUAUAAUUUGUCCAGAUGUACCUUUGUUAUUUUUGGAUGUGAAAAUGUAACUAUUCUCCCAACAUUUCCACUUGGUUUGGAGACUAAUGCUUCUAAAUUUGCCAAGUAAAAAAGGCUAACAGAAACUAAUGCAUACAGGUAUGAACGGCAUAGAAUCUAUAGGAAUAAGCAUCAAACUUUAUAUUCUGUUUUAACUAAUGCAAGUCAGAUAUAUGUACUUCACUAGAGAAAAGCUAACCUGCGCCAUUUCUUUUGGCAAAAGCUCUCUUUUGAAGCAACUCCCAGCCUUCAUCCUCGUUCAAAAGGUUGAGUGGAUAGGGGAAUUCAACUUCUGCGAGUUUCUGGUUCCGAGUUGUAAUCAAAAUUUUGCUAUCCGCCUCUGCAAAUGGAAAUGCUACACUGAGACGCUUCCAGUCCUCAAUUUCCCACAGGUCAUCAAGAACAACUAAGCUUUUUGUCUCU
rnacentral:lncRNA from 1 species